CGUUCUUCUAAGUUCCCAUGGCAUGAUUCAAACGGCAAACCGCAUUAUCGGAAUAGAUAAUUGUUUUUAUAGAUUUUUCGUGUUUUAGUUUUUUGUGUAGUUUUGUUAAACAACAAAAGAACGUGUUUUUGUUUUAAUCUACUAUUCAGAGUGACGGUGCGCUAAGCUUGGAAAACUAUUUGCUGAAGAUAUGACAGUGAUCUAACGCAAGUAGUUUUCUUAUUCCUGGAACGACCAACACCUUAAAGGCACAUGCUUGGACUAAAUAUUGUUGGGCAGAUCAAGACUGGUCAUCUGCGGUAGAACUGCGUUAAUUUUAUACCAAUAAAGGUUUUAUGUGGUUUUAUGUGAAUCUUAUGAUUCUCGUGAAGUGGAGGAACUACUGAAUGUGGCCAACCAGAACACAGAUCACAGAUCACACGAGCAUCACUGAACUGUUUAUGUUGGAAGAGCCACUCAUACAAAUAGAUAAUUUGCAGAUACAGUAGGUUGUACUUAACAACUGCAACUUAACAAGCACAAAAGUGUGCAAUUCUCAGAGGCACCUAUACUAAACUCUACUUACAAUAAACAGAGGAACUCCCCACUGGAGCUUAUGCUAACAUGCAUGCUCACGCAAGCUCAUGUUGGGACGAAAAACACAAACAAAACAACAGAUAGUGCAGAUAAUUAUGAUUACGGUGCCAAUCACUUACAAAUAGAUACCGAAAUAGUAAUAUAAAUAGAAAUAGAUGCAGCUGAAGCAGUAGAGCAGGCAAAGUCAGAGGGAAAGGCUUGUGCAUAUGUGUGUGGCUUUUUACAGUGGCGUGCACUUCAUAGAUGCUAAAAUGCACUGCCUACCCUUUGGACUCCUUACCAAACUGUAAUAGAGAAGAAAUUUUCCAUCCUAUUUACGUAUAAUUCUUACCCUAGGUGAAAACUUUGUGCACGCCAAUGGCUUUAUAUUUAAAAGUAAGUAGUAGUAGGGGAGCCGAAGAGGGGAUUUUUGCAGUUACUCGAGCGCGGCAGACAAACAUAAGGGACUAUACCUUACACUUUGUCGAGUACCUCCACCGAGUAUGAGCCCUUAAUAUUGGUGGGUACGUUUAGGGCAACCAAAAAAAAAAACUAACUUCAUAAAUAUUCAACCAGCACGUUAGAUUAAGAUAAGGUAGGUGAGUUGAUAGCUAAAAACUGCACAUUUCGAAAAUCUGACGAUUUGAGCGUAACGUAAUGGAAUGGGAGGGUUUCAAAGUUACAAAAUUAAACCCUUUUAUUUUAGUGUUCGAGGUACGAGUGCGAUUAAUUUUUUACUUAUUUUUAAGGAAAUAAUCUCCUAAUUAAUCGCUAAAAUUUUCUUACAAUUUCAGUAAGCCAAAGUAAUAAAAAUUGUUUUUAAAGUCUGUAGUUUUUUUCCACCGCUAAAAGCGGAAAAAGUAAAUAACCAUUUAUUCUUCCUAUAAUGUAAUCUACCAAAUGUAAUCAGUCUCAAUGACGCUCGAGUAACUGCAAAUUUAGCAUCCCGGGCUCCCCUACUAUAGUAAGUUGCCGACGUCGCCACUUAUUUGCGGUGCCGUGUGGCAGGACUAAAGUUAGUAGAAAUUUAGAAUUAGACAUUUUUCACACUUCUACCUAUAAGCUUGUAAAUAGAAUUAAUUUAUAACUAGAAUAGAAUCUGUUAAUAUUAUUAUAUUUUUUCGUGUAUUGUAAUUGUUUAAUUAUUAAAAACAGAAACAUAACAAAUGUCCAGAAUGUAAAAAGGCAUUUUUAACAGACCACCCUGAAGCUAUACACACAUUCACAAGUUUUAGGAAAUAUGAUAAUUUUAACAAUGCAUUAACAUCUAUAGUGAUAUUAUAAAGCUGAAGAGUUUGUUUGUUUGAACGCGAUAAUCUCAGGAACUACUGGAUUUGAAAUAUUCAUUUAGUGUUAGAUAUCCCAUUUAUCGAGGAAGGCUACAUCAUCAUCAUCAUCCUAUCCUAUCAUCCCAGUAUUUCUACAGGAACGAGAACCACGCGGGUGAAACCGCGCGGCGUCAGCUAGUAUGUAAAUAAAAAUGUAAUUAAAGUACCUAAAGGAAAUACUUUGCUAUUAAUUAUUAAUAAAUAUUCUAAUGGGACUGCACACAAUUCUUAUGUUCGAAUUAAUAGUUAUGAAGGCGUCAGAUCAAAAUAUUGAUUUUGGCUUCUUAAAAAUAUGCUCACCUCAUUUGAGUUAUAAUAUCAAUCACAUCAUAUAAUAUAAUAUCAAUCAUAUCAAUAUAAUAUCAAUUUUUUUUAAAGCAUUAUAAGAUACACAAUUGUUCAUAAAUAGAAGAUUUUAUAACGACGAAAAGACAAAAGCUUUGCAAAAAUUAAAAAGUUACACAAUAAAUAAAAUUAUUUAAAGUA